rnacentral:piRNA from 1 species
UAACGUUCCUGUUAAUCCACACCUAUGUUU